GAAUAAGUCUCACAAGAUCUGACGGGUUUAUCAGGGGUUUCCGCUUUUGCUUCUUCCUCAUUUUUCUCUUGCCCCUUGCCACGCAAGAAGUGCCUUUUGCCUCCCACCAUAAUUCUGAGGCCUCCCCAACCAUGUGGAACUGAUUUCCACUGGUAGCGAGGAUCCUCUCUGGUGCUGAGGAUGUGGCCACGGGCGAGAGAGAAAGGGAGAGACACACACGGUGUCCGCAAGAUGAGUGAGGGAUACCCUGGGAGUUCAGCUGGAGCGGAGGGAAGGCACCAGGAUCUCAGCAGGGCCUGGCCUCCGGAAAGGACCCUGGUGAGAAGGCGGGCCCUGGGGAGACGUGGAGCGCCCAGCCCAGGGCGCGGGAGGCCCUGGCAUCCACUAUUCUACUUUCUGUCUCUAUGAGUUUGACCACUCUAGAGUCAUCAUAAGUAAUUUUAUGAUAAACGAAUAUUGUACUAUCCUGGGAAGCUGAAAGAGAAUCUGGACUGCACUGAAACCUGGAAAACAACAGACGCUGUUGGAUCGGGAAAUAUCUGACGGCAAACAGCACCAGGAGAUUACCAGUGAGGGAGAUACUCUCACCAUCGUCUGUUUCAUAGAUGAGGACACUGCCAAGGAUUUGCGUGCAUCACACAGCUCACGGCUGUCAGAGCUGGAAGUGGAGUGCGUUUCCACCUUGAGAAGCACACCAACACCUUUUUGUUUUCUUCUGUCUUUAAACGUAACUCCUUUCCAUGUGUAAAAAUUAAAUCAGGCUGGGUGCGGUGGCUCACGCCUGUAAUCCCAGCUCUUUGGGAGGCUGAGGCGGGUAGAUCAUAAGGUCAAGAGAUCGAGACCAUCCUGGCUAACAUGGUGAAACCCUGUCUCCACUAAAAAUACAAAAAUUAGCUGAGUGUGGUGGUGCGCGCCUGUAGUCCCAGCUACUCAGGAGGCGGAGACUGCAGUGAGCUGAGAUUGCACCAUUGUACUCCAGCAUGGGCAACAAAAGCGAAACUCCCUCUCAAAAAAAAAAAAAAAAAAAAAAUUAAAUCAGGGAACCAAACUGCCUGAAUUAUUUCAUUUUCUUUACUAAGAAAUUUAGAAAACUCUCCAUCUGAAAUACUUCCUUUUAAAAUUUAUUUUAUUUUCAUAAUACAUUUUCCAAUACAAGAAUAGGGAAUUCCCUGUGUUAGCAGGUGGCAGACUCCGGACCCUGGGACCCAUAUCCCAGCUUAAAGGGCCAUUCCUUCUUGCCCUGAAGCACCAUUGCACAGGGAGUAACUGGCACCCGGUGUUAACAUUGGAAACAUUUGGAUGGAAACAGAUUUUUACACUGGUUAUCAUCUGAUGAGGGUUUUAAGGGGAAAGUGUCAACAUAAAUUUGGAAUUUCCUGACUUCUGCGGAUCUGAGUUACAAUCCUGACAAAACUAGAAAGGAAAUCUUUAAAAAAUUUUUAGUGUUUUAUUGUGUGGAAAUGUCCCCAAACAUUUUCAUCCCAUUUUCCCAGAGAAACCUGACAGCUCUUGCGGG
rnacentral:lncRNA from 1 species